rnacentral:rRNA from 1 species
AUUGAACGCUGGCGGUAGGCCUAACACAUGCAAGUCGAACGGCAGCACAGUAAGAGCUGGUGCUUAGGUGAGGCGAGUGGCGGGGGUGUGAGGUGUACAGCGGAAUGUACGUUUUCGUGGGGGAACACGUAGGGAAGCUUGCUCUAAUAGCGCAUACUACCUACAGGUGAAAGCAGGGGAUCUUCGGACCUUGCGCGAUUGAAUGAGCCGAUGUGGGAUUAGCUAGUUGGCGGGGUAAAGGCCCACCAAGGCGACGAUCCGUAGCUGGUCUGAGAGGAUGAUCAGCCACACUGGAACUGAGACACGGUCCAGACUCCUACGGGAGGCAGCAGUGGGGAAUAUUGGACAAUGGGCGCAAGCCUGAUGCAGCCGUACCGCGUGGAUGAAGAAGGCCUUCGGGUUGUAAAGUACUUUCGUCGGGAAAGAAAAGAAGAAGGUUAAUACCUCGCCGUAUUGACGGUACCCAAAGAAUAAGCACCGGCUAACUUCGUG